GCUGAGUGUUGUGGCAGGUGCCUGUAGUCCCAGCUACUUGGGAGGCUGAGGCAAAAGGAUUGCUUGAGUCCAAGAGUUUGAGAUUGCUGUGAGCUAUGAAGUCACAGCACUCUACCAAGUGUGACAAAGUGAGACUUUUUUUAAAAAAAGAGACAGCAUCUCACUUUAUCGCCCUUGGUAGAGUGCUGUGGCGUCACAGCUCACAGCAGCCUCCAACUCCUGGGCUUAGGCUAUUCUCCUGCCUCA
rnacentral:sRNA from 1 species